GAUGAACGCUGGCGGCGUGCCUAAUACAUGCAAGUCGAGCGAACAGACGAGGAGCUUGCUCCUCUGACGUUAGCGGCGGACGGGUGAGUAACACGUGGAUAACCUACCUAUAAGACUGGGAUAACUUCGGGAAACCGGAGCUAAUACCGGAUAAUAUAUUGAACCGCAUGGUUCAAUAGUGAAAGACGGUUUUGCUGUCACUUAUAGAUGGAUCCGCGCCGCAUUAGCUAGUUGGUAAGGUAACGGCUUACCAAGGCAACGAUGCGUAGCCGACCUGAGAGGGUGAUCGGCCACACGGGAACUUAGACACGGUCCAGACUCCUACGGGAGGCAGCAGUAGGGAAUCGUCCGCAGUGGGCGAAAGCCUGACGGAGCAACGCCGCGUGAAUGAUGAAGGUCUUCGGAUCGUAAAACUCUGUUAUUAGGGAAGAACAAAUGUGUAAGUAACUAUGCACGUCUUGACGGUACCGAAUCAGAAAGCCACGGCUAACUACGUG
rnacentral:rRNA from 1 species